UCGAGCGAGUCUGCCUUGAAGAUCGGAGUGCUUGCACUCUGUGAAACAAGAUACAGGCUAGCGGCGGACGGGUGAGUAACACGUGGGUAACCUGCCCAAGAGAUCGGGAUAACACCUGGAAACAGAUGCUAAUACCGGAUAACAACAGAUGAUGCCUAUCAACUGUUUAAAAGAUGGUUCUGCUAUCACUCUUGGAUGGACCUGCGGUGCAUUAGCUAGUUGGUAGGGUAACGGCCUACCAAGGCGAUGAUGCAUAGCCGAGUUGAGAGACUGAUCGGCCACAUUGGGACUGAGACACGGCCCAAACUCCUACGGGAGGCAGCAGUAGGGAAUCUUCCACAAUGGACGCAAGUCUGAUGGAGCAACGCCGCGUGAGUGAAGUAGGGUUUCGGCUCGUAAAGCUCUGUUGUUGGUGAAGAAGGACAGGGGUAGUAACUGACCUUUGUUUGACGGUAAUCAAUUAGAAAGUCACGGCUAACUACGUGCCAGCAGCCGCGGUAAUACGUAGGUGGCAAGCGUUGUCCGGAUUUAUUGGGCGUAAAGCGAGUGCAGGCGGUUCGAUAAGUCUGAUGUGAAAGCCUUCGGCUCAACCGGAGAAUUGCAUCAGAAACUGUCGAGCUUGAGUACAGAAGAGGAGAGUGGAACUCCAUGUGUAGCGGUGAAAUGCGUAGAUAUAUGGAAGAACACCGGUGGCGAAGGCGGCUCUCUGGUCUGUUACUGACGCUGAGGCUCGAAAGCAUGGGUAGCGAACAGGAUUAGAUACCCUGGUAGUCCAUGCCGUANACGAUGAGUGCUAAGUGUUGGGAGGUUUCCGCCUCUCAGUGCUGCAGCUAACGCAUUAAGCAC
rnacentral:rRNA from 1 species